CAUUACUAAGUGGCUUUAACAUAGAACCGCGCAGUUCGCCUAAAGGAGACUGGGGACAAAAUGGAGGGAGCAGCUCGCUAAUGAACAUGCGUCAGCACGUUGGUGUCCGCGGAGAGGGCGCGCGUGUGGCGAAGUCUUCCGGCGUCCCCGAAGGAAAAAUGCCUCUGCAACGUGCAUUUUUGAUGUGAAGUCGUGUUCCACGUUUCACUCCUCCCUAAGACUGCGACAUAACGUGAAACAAAAUACUGCAUAUUGUCGAGCUCAAUGGAGAACGCGUGCAUGCAGGGUCGAGCCCAUUUUUCAGCCAUCAAAAUAAUACAAUGCAAUUUUUUCUAGUAUUUAUAAUUUUUCCCCUUUAACUUUAUGCCUCCUUUAUGUACUUCUACAUUUCACGUUUAGGUUAUAUGUAACCUAAGGGCACUCCUUAGGAAACUGGACUUGUAGAAUAUGUCAUUGUGCAAAGUCAUGCUGCUUCGAAUUAUGCUGCGCGCUGGCACACAGCAAGCGCUCAGUGUUAACGAUGUCGAAUUCAUAUUAAGUACUGUUCAUUGGGCGUUUUCUUACUCCGUAAGGACCUUACUUGCAUGCCCAUUUGAUACCUUUCUACAAUCCCAGUAAAAUACACAGUUAAGGUUGUG
rnacentral:lncRNA from 1 species